UUUACUGUGACUCAGUUGGUAGAGCAUUGCACUAACAAGGCAAAGGUUCUGGGUUCAAAUCAAAGGGGAAACA